UGAAGAAUAUUUCGCAAUGGGCGAAAGCCUGACGAAGCGACACCGCGUGAACGAUGAAGGGCGUAAGCUUGUAAAGUUCUUUUCUGGGGGAAGAAAUUCGACGGUACCCCAGGAAUCAGCGACGGCUAACUACGUGCCAGCAGCCGCGGUAAUACGUAGGUCGCAAGCGUUAUCCGGAAUCAUUGGGCGUAAAGCGUACCGAGGUGGUUUUAUAAGUUGAGCGUUAAAGACCCUGGCCCAACCAGGGGACUGUGCUCAAAACUGUAAGACUUGAGUUCUGUAUAGGUAAAUGGAAUUCUGUGUGUAGGGGUAAAAUCCGUUGAUACACAGAAGAACGCCAAAAGCGAAGGCAUUUUACUGGACAGAUACUGACACUCACGUACGAAAGCGUGGGGAGCGAAAAGG
rnacentral:rRNA from 1 species